rnacentral:misc_RNA from 1 species
GAUGAAGAACGUAGCGAAAUGCGAUAAGUAAUGCGAAUUGCAGAUUUCAGUGAAUCAUCGAAUCUUUGAACGCACAUUGCGCCCCCUGGUAUUCCGGGGGGCAUGCCUGUUCGAGCGUCAUUUCACCACUCAAGCCUCGCUUGGUAUUGGGCAACGCGGUCCGCCGCGUGCCUCAAAUCGACCGGCUGGGUCUUCUGUCCCCUAAGCGUUGUGGAAACUAUUCGCUAAAGGGUGUUCGGGAGGCUACGCCGUAAAACAACCCCAUUUCUAAGGUUGACCUCGGAUCAGGUAGGGAUACCCGCUGAACUUAAGCAUAUCAAUAAGCGGAGGA